AGCUUACAGUUUCCACACUGC
rnacentral:misc_RNA from 1 species